rnacentral:rRNA from 1 species
GAUGAACGCUGGCGGCGUGCCUAAUACAUGCAAGUCGAGCGAACAGACGAGGAGCUUGCUCCUCUGACGUUAGCGGCGGACGGGUGAGUAACACGUGGAUAACCUACCUAUAAGACUGGGAUAACUUCGGGAAACCGGAGCUAAUACCGGAUAAUAUAUUGAACCGCAUGGUUCAAUAGUGAAAGACGGUUUUGCUGUCACUUAUAGAUGGAUCCGCGCCGCAUUAGCUAGUUGGUAAGGUAACGGCUUACCAAGGCAACGAUGCGUAGCCGACCUGAGAGGGGGAUCAGCCACACUGGAACUGAGACACGGUCCAGACUCCUACGGGAGGCAGCAGUAGGGAAUCUUCCGCAAUGGGCGAAAGCCUGACGGAGCAAAGCCGCGUGAGUGAUGAAGGUCUUCGGAUCGUAAAACUCUGUUAUUAGGGAAGAACAAAUGUGUAAGGAACGAUGCACGUCUUGACGGUACCUGAUCAGAAAGCCACGGCUAACUACGUG